rnacentral:rRNA from 1 species
CCCGCUGAACUUAAGCAUAUCAAUAAGCGGAGGAAAAGAAACUAACAAGGAUUCCCCUAGUAACGGCGAGUGAAGAGGGAAGAGCUCAAAUUUUGAAUCUGGCGUCUCUGGCGUCCGAAUUGUAAUCUAGAGAAGUGUUUUCCGUGACGGACCGUGCAUAAGUCUCCUGGAAUGGAGUGUCAUAGAGGGUGAGAAUCCCGUAUAUGGCACGGACUCCCGUUGCUCUGUGAUACACUCUCGACGAGUCGAGUUGUUUGGGAAUGCAGCUCAAAUAGGGUGGUAAAUUCCAUCUAAAGCUAAAUACAGGCGAGAGACCGAUAGCGAACAAGUACCGUGAGGGAAAGAUGAAAAGAACUUCGGAAAGAGAGUUAAACAGUACGUGAAAUUGCUGAAAGGGAAACGCUUGAUGUCAGUCGCGUCGUCCGGGGAUCAGCCUUGCUCUUUUGCUCGGUGUAUUUCCUGGUCGACGGGUCAGCAUCGGUUUCGACCGUCGGAAAAUGGCUCGAGGAAUGUGGCACCCUUCGGGGUGUGUUAUAGACUCGGGUCGAAUACGGCGAUUGGGACCGAGGAACUCAGCACGACCUUAGGGUUCGGGGCUUCGGCCCACGUCAACGUGCUUAGGAUGCUGGCAUAAUGGCCUUAAGCGACCCGUCUUGAAACACGG